CCUACGGGAGGCAGCAGUAGGGAAUCUUUCACAAUGGGCGAAAGCCUGAUGGAGCAACGCCGCGUGCAGGAUGAAGGCCUUCGGGUUGUAAACUGCUUUUAUAAGCGAGAAAUAUGAUGGUAACUUAUGAAUAAGGAUCGGCUAACUACGUGCCAGCAGCCGCGGUCAUACGUAGGAUCCGCGCAUUAUCCGGAGUGACUGGGUGUAAAGAGUUGCGUAGGUGGCAUAAUAAGUAGCUAGUGAAAUCUGGUGGCUCAACCAUUCAGACUAUAAGCUAAACUGUUAAGCUCGAGAACGUUAGGGGUAACUGGAAUUUCGAGUGUAGGAGUGAAAUCCGUAGAUAUUAGAAGGAACACCAAUAGCGAAGGCAGGUUACUGGGACGGUUCUGACACUGAGGCACGAAAGCGUAGGGAGCAAACGGGAUUAGAUACCCGUGUAGUC
rnacentral:rRNA from 1 species